AGCAGCCGCGGUAAUUCCAGCUCCAAUAGCGUAUAUUAAAGUUGUUGCAGUUAAAAAGCUCGUAGUUGAAUUUCGGGGUCAGUAGAUUGGUCAUGCCUCCGGUAUGCACUGGUCUUACUGGCUCCUCCUUCCUGAUGAACCGUAAUGCCAUUAAUUUGGUGUUGCGGGGAGACUGGACUGUUACUUUGAAAAAUUAGAGUGUUUAAAGCAGGCUAACGCUUGAAUACAUUAGCAUGGAAUAAUGAAAUAGGACGUUCGAUCUUAUUUGUUGGUUUCUAAGAUUGACGUAAUGAUUAAUAGGGAUAGGUUGGGG
rnacentral:rRNA from 1 species